AUGAUACGCGUAAUCAACUACGCGUCAGAGAAAAUUAUUGCGCCUACCGAAAAUUAAUCACGGUUUGGCAGAAAUUUUACCUGAUGUGGAAGGUUUAAAAAGAACUGCUGAAGUCAAAUGAGCUGUCAUUGUUGUGUGCAGUGGUGGCUCUAUUUGAUAUCUCUAAUCUUGCAGAUUCCGUGAAUCUGUCCAAGUGGUUGAUGUAUUUCAGUGCAUCUAAAUGCUGCGUUGCUCUCUGGAUCAGAGAUGGAAAAAAUCACAUUGAAACAUCGCAAGCGUAACUUCCGGUGAAACAGCGCACUUUGAUUGGUUCAGAAACAUUUUUCCCUGUUCUUUACUUUUUCAUAAUGGACCAGUAGUCCAUUACAUGUAUAUUAUCAAAUAAAUGUUAACAAACUUCGUGAAGCAAAUAGCAAAACGCAAAAAAAAAACGAAACAAAAACCA